GAUGAACGCUGGCGGCGUGCCUAAUACAUGCAAGUCGAGCGAACAGACGAGGAGCUUGCUCCUCUGACGUUAGUGGCGGACGGGUGAGUAACACGUGGAUAACCUACCUAUAAGACUGGGAUAACUUCGGGAAACCGGAGCUAAUACCGGAUAAUAUAUUGAACCGCAUGGUUCAAUAGUGAAAGACGGUUUUGCUGUCACUUAUAGAUGGAUCCGCGCCGCAUUAGCUAGUUGGUAAGGUAACGGCUUACCAAGGCAACGAUGCGUAGCCGACCUGAGAGGGUGAUCGGCCACACUGGAACUGAGACACGGUCCAGACUCCUACGGGAGGCAGCAGUAGGGAAUCUUCCGCAAUGGGCGAAAGCCUGACGGAGCAACGCCGCGUGAGUGAUGAAGGUCUUCGGAUCGUAAAACUCUGUUAUUAGGGAAGAACAAAUGUGUAAGUAACUAUGCACGUCUUGACAGUACCUAAUCAGAAAGCCACGGCUAACUACGUG
rnacentral:rRNA from 1 species